rnacentral:rRNA from 1 species
CCUCCCUCCGGCGGAGCUCGACCCCCACCCCCAAGCCCAGCCGCUCCACCCUCUCCUGUACCCAUCCACAGAUCGAGCAAGGGGUGAGGGAGCGCCCAGAUCCACCACCCUACCAAAACGAGAUACAACACCAGAUCCCUCCUUCUUCCUGACUUCUGGCACCGUCGCAGCCACCUUUUACGUCGCGGCUCUCCUACUUUGUCUAGCCUCGCGUCCACGCCUCCCCUGCCCCUCGCCCCUCGUGCCCACGCCUCCCCUGCCUCUUGUCGGACUCACCAUCCUAUGCUGCACCAAGGAGAUGGGCGUGUGUGAGUCCGCCCUCUCGGGGGAGGCAGAGGGGCACCGUGGCGGUGAUGGGGAAUAAGAUCGCAGGACAACGCAGGCCUCGGCGAUGCAGUCCUACCUGCACGAGCUGCCCUCCACCUACAACCUCGUGAUGCUUGACCUCGUCAGGCGUGGCCGCCUCCUCUACAAGCACAAUGAGGGCCGCCUUCUCGUCAAGAUCUACUUCAAGCGCGCCGGAGAGCCCCUCGAGCUCAAGUCACCGCCGGAUUCGAGGGUGGAGCCCGAGCCUCCACUGGAGCAUGAAUCAGACGUGCAGGAGGUGGAGCUCCGCAUGGAUCAUGACAUGGUCGUCGCGGGGGCAAGGAUCAUCAAGUCUGCAGGCGGCAUCAGGGGAGGUGCAGUGCCAGCUGCUGGACAUGGUUCACCCUGGGUUGCUGCUGAUGCACAAGGUGAAUUUCGAUGCCAAGACGGAGUAUGAAAUGAUUGAGAACUACAAGAUUCUCCUGGAUGUGUUCAACAAGCUGUAGAUAGGCAAGGUACAGUGGUGAUUCUCCUGGCUUAGCUCUCUACCUGUGGAUUUAUCCGUGAUUGUGUCUUGCAUUUUGUCAUCUGGGAAAGCAAAGGUGAUUUGUCUAUAUAGUAGUUUGGUUUAUAUAUGCCGUGUGUGGGGAUUCAGUCUGGAACAGUCGUGUGUGAUUGAUGUCAACAUGUGGUAUAGCCACAAGAUGAUUCGAUAACUGACUAAAUUUGUUGUGCACUACUGAAGUUAUCCUCAUUGCUGUGUAUAGUACUAAACUUGUACAAUUCUUGUCCUUUUUCCACACAACAUUAAGAUUAGAGUCGUGCUUUCUGAAUGUUUUGCCAAUUUUUAUGUCCUGUGAGCUAGCAAACUGAGCUACGGGUGCUUCAUCUCUGUCCUUCAGCUUCUAUACUUAUGACAAUUAAAUAGAGGAUCUAUUUUGCUCCCUGCUCUGAUUGGUUUCAAUCGAUAUUUGUCUCAUCUAGCACUCUGAGUAUCAGUAUGUUGUUUUAACCCUGAUUAUGACGUGGUAGUAUAAAGUGGACACCAUAUUCCUAUUUAAAUGCAUAACGAUUUUUUUUCCCAUCAUGUCCUGGUUUACCCAUGUCAGAUUUGUUCCUUCCGGAACUCUUGGUCCUUCAUAUCUAAAGUUUACAUGUACUGUACAAGCUCUACUUUAUGCUAAUACUUGCCUUUGUAACAUUUUGCAUUGCAUACUUCUAAAUGGACAAGUACAUGCGAUGUCCAUCAUGAACGAUGAUGCAGACUAGAUCUACAACUACAGAACCAUCCAUCACAUAAACACAAAGUCAGAUGUUUUGCAUCAGGAAGAAGCAGUACUUGAGGAAGCAGAUUACAUGUUUUCCCGCCAUGAAGCACUAGAUAGGCUUGUUCUAUUUAUUUUUGCUGUUCUAGAGUAUUUCAGCAGCUGAAUGCUUGACUACAACAUGUUGUAGGUUGCUUGGAUCUGUAUAAAAUACGUAUGUGAUGGAAAUUUGUAGAAUGUGCGUUCUGAGAUAUUUCCGUAAUAUUCAGCUAAUUGGUGGUAACUUGAUUCAUAUUGUUAU